AGGAAGAGGAAGAGGAAGAGGAUGCCACUUCAGGUGCUCUGCCUAUGCGUUGUAUUUUGUGUACCACAGCUGCAGGUUAAUAUCUGCUAAUUUUGUUUCUGUAACAUAAAUGUGCGUGGUGUGUGCAUAUAUGAUGAGCUUGUGCGAUUUAGACACUUGCAGCUUCUUGUUCUAUGAGUUGUAGGCAUAGUCAUUUGUAACAUAUGCAUUGAUG
rnacentral:misc_RNA from 1 species